rnacentral:ncRNA from 1 species
AUGAACUGAUAAAUUGAUUAGUCAAAUGAUAGGAUAACGCCUUGAAGGGCUAACACUAAUACUCCGAAUGGCUAUCAUAUGUUAAGAUGUGGGGUCAUAAGCUCGGUGAAGUCAGCCAGGAUUGUACCCUAAGGCUCUAUAUGAUUCGCUAUGUCGAUUGACUAGGUUCUACUGGACUGAACCUUACUUAAAGAAUCUAUAGAGAAACAGGAAAUGGGGCUAGAGGUAGUCAAGUACAAAGAAUAGGUUGGGUGUCUAUAAA